rnacentral:rRNA from 1 species
GAGUGCUUGCACUCAAUUGGAAAGAGGAGUGGCGGACGGGUGAGUAACACGUGGGUAACCUACCCAUCAGAGGGGGAUAACACUUGGAAACAGGUGCUAAUACCGCAUAACAGUUUAUGCCGCAUGGCAUAAGAGUGAAAGGCGCUUUCGGGUGUCGCUGAUGGAUGGACCCGCGGUGCAUUAGCUAGUUGGUGAGGUAACGGCUCACCAAGGCCACGAUGCAUAGCCGACCUGAGAGGGUGAUCGGCCACACUGGGACUGAGACACGGCCCAGACUCCUACGGGAGGCAGCAGUAGGGAAUCUUCGGCAAUGGACGAAAGUCUGACCGAGCAACGCCGCGUGAGUGAAGAAGGUUUUCGGAUCGUAAAACUCUGUUGUUAGAGAAGAACAAGGACGUUAGUAACUGAACGUCCCCUGACGGUAUCUAACCAGAAAGCCACGGCUAACUACGUGCCAGCAGCCGCGGUAAUACGUAGGUGGCAAGCGUUGUCCGGAUUUAUUGGGCGUAAAGCGAGCGCAGGCGGUUUCUUAAGUCUGAUGUGAAAGCCCCCGGCUCAACCGGGGAGGGUCAUUGGAAACUGGGAGACUUGAGUGCAGAAGAGGAGAGUGGAAUUCCAUGUGUAGCGGUGAAAUGCGUAGAUAUAUGGAGGAACACCAGUGGCGAAGGCG